rnacentral:rRNA from 1 species
CAGUCGCCACGGUAAUACGGAGGGUGCAAGCGUUAAUCGGAAUUACUGGGCGUAAAGCGUGCGUAGGCGGUUCGUUAAGUCUGUCGUGAAAGCCCCGGGCUCAACCUGGGAAUGGCAAUGGAUACUGGCGAGCUAGAGUGUGUCAGAGGAUGGUGGAAUUCCCGGUGUAGCGGUGAAAUGCGUAGAGAUCGGGAGGAACAUCAGUGGCGAAGGCGGCCAUCUGGGACAACACUGACGCUGAGGCACGAAAGCGUGGGGAGCAAACAGGAUUAGAUACCCGCGUAGUCCCUGUCUCUUAUAC